rnacentral:rRNA from 1 species
GUUUGAUCAUGGCUCAGAGCGAACGCUGGCGGCAGGCUUAACACAUGCAGGUCGAACGGGCACUUCGGUGUCAGUGGCAGACGGGUGAGUAACGCGUGGGAACGUACCUUUUGGUUCGGAACAACUGAGGGAAACUUCAGCUAAUACCGGAUAAGCCCUAACGGGGAAAGAUUUAUCGCCGAAAGAUCGGCCCGCGUCUGAUUAGCUAGUUGGUAGGGUAAUGGCCUACCAAGGCGACGAUCAGUAGCUGGUCUGAGAGGAUGAUCAGCCACAUUGGGACUGAGACACGGCCCAAACUCCUACGGGAGGCAGCAGUGGGGAAUAUUGGACAAUGGGCGCAAGCCUGAUCCAGCCAUGCCGCGUGAGUGAUGAAGGCCCUAGGGUUGUAAAGCUCUUUUGUACGGGAAGAUAAUGACGGUACCGUAAGAAUAAGCCCCGGCUAACUUCGUGCCAGCAGCCGCGGUAAUACGAAGGGGGCUAGCGUUGCUCGGAAUCACUGGGCGUAAAGGGUGCGUAGGCGGGUUUUUAAGUCAGAGGUGAAAUCCUGGAGCUCAACUCCAGAACUGCCUUUGAUACUGAAAGUCUUGAGUAUGGGAGAGGUGAGUGGAACUGCGAGUGUAGAGGUGAAAUUCGUAGAUAUUCGCAAGAACACCAGUGGCGAAGGCGGCUCACUGGCCCAUAACUGACGCUGAGGCACGAAAGCGUGGGGAGCAAACAGGAUUAGAUACCCUGGUAGUCCACGCCGUAAACGAUGAAUGCCAGCCGUUAGUGGGUUUACUCACUAGUGGCGCAGCUAACGCUUUAAGCAUUCCGCCUGGGGAGUACGGUCGCAAGAUUAAANCUCAAAGGAAUUGACGGGGGCCCGCACAAGCGGUGGAGCAUGUGGUUUAAUUCGACGCAACGCGCAGAACCUUACCAGCCCUUGACAUGUCUAUGACCGGUACCAGAGAUGGAACCUUCCCUUCGGGGCAUAGAGCACAGGUGCUGCAUGGCUGUCGUCAGCUCGUGUCGUGAGAUGUUGGGUUAAGUCCCGCAACGAGCGCAACCCCCGUCCUUAGUUGCUACCAUUUAGUUGAGCACUCUAAGGAGACUGCCGGUGAUAAGCCGCGAGGAAGGUGGGGAUGACGUCAAGUCCUCAUGGCCCUUACGGGCUGGGCUACACACGUGCUACAAUGGCGGUGACAAUGGGAUGCAAAGGGGCGACCCCUCGCAAAUCUCAAAAAGCCGUCUCAGUUCGGAUUGGGCUCUGCAACUCGAGCCCAUGAAGUUGGAAUCGCUAGUAAUCGUGGAUCAGCAUGCCACGGUGAAUACGUUCCCGGGCCUUGUACACACCGCCCGUCACACCAUGGGAGUUGGUUCUACCUGAAGGCAGUGCGCUAACCCGCAAGGGGGGCAGCUGACCACGGUAGGGUCAGCGACUGGG